GCCCCUAUGGCUCAGUGGCAGAGCGUUCGCCUAGUAAGCGAAAGGUCCAUAGUUCGAUCCUGUGUGGGGGCAUUUGCUCUUU
rnacentral:tRNA from 1 species